rnacentral:rRNA from 1 species
ACGGGUGCGUAACGCGUGGGAAUCUGCCCUUUGGUUCGGAAUAACAGCUGGAAACGGCUGCUAAUACCGGAUGAUGACGAAAGUCCAAAGAUUUAUCGCCAGAGGAUGAGCCCGCGUUGGAUUAGGUAGUUGGUGGGGUAAAGGCCUACCAAGCCGACGAUCCAUAGCUGGUCUGAGAGGAUGAUCAGCCACACUGGGACUGAGACACGGCCCAGACUCCUACGGGAGGCAGCAGUGGGGAAUAUUGGUCAAUGGGCGCAAGCCUGAUCCAGCAAUGCCGCGUGAGUGAUGAAGGCCCUAGGGUUGUAAAGCUCUUUUACCCGGGAAGAUAAUGACUGUACCGGGAGAAUAAGCCCCGGCUAACUCCGUGCCAGCAGCCGCGGUAAUACGGAGGGGGCUAGCAUUGUUCGGAAUUACUGGGCGUAAAGCGCACGUAGGCGGCUUUGUGAGUCAGAGGUGAAAGCCUGGAGCUCAACUCCAGAACUGCCUUUGAGACUGCAUCGCUUGAAUCCAGGAGAGGUCAGUGGAAUUCCGAGUGUAGAGGUGAAAUUCGUAGA